rnacentral:tRNA from 1 species
GCCUUCAUGGUGUAACGGUAGCAUACUAGGCACAUAUUCCAGAGGACCAGGGUUCGAGUCCCCGGGAGGGCA